AUACGGAAGGUCCGGGCGUUAUCCGGAUUUAUUGGGUUUAAAGGGAGCGCAGGCGGAGAUGCAAGCGUGACGUCAAAUUUCGGGGCUCAACCCCGUCUCGCGUCGCGAACUGCGUCCCUUGGUUGCGGGAAGGGGAGGCGGAACUCGUGGUGUAGCGGUGAAAUGCAUAGAGAUCACGAAGAACUCCGAUCGCGAAGGCAGCCUUCCGGCCCGUCAACGACGCUCAUGCUCGAAGGUGCGGGUAUCAAACGGGAUUAGAUACCCUGGUAGUCCGCACAGUAAACGAUGGACACCCGCGGUUUGGCCUGUAUGGCUGAGCCGCCAAGCGAAAGCGUUAAGUGUCCCACCUGGGGAGUACGCCGGCAACGGUGAAACUCAAAUGAAUUGACGGGG
rnacentral:rRNA from 1 species